rnacentral:rRNA from 1 species
CUACGGGUGGCAGCAGUGGGGAAUAUUGGACAAUGGGGGAAACCCUGAUCCAGCAAUGCCGCGUGUGUGAAGAAGGCCUGCGGGUUGUAAAGCACUUUCGGUUGGGAGGACUGCUUCUAGCACUAAUAUUGUUGGAAGUUGACGUUACCUUCAGAAGAAGCACCGGCUAACUCCGUGCCAGCAGCCGCGGUAAUACGGAGGGUGCAAGCGUUAAUCGGAAUUACUGGGCGUAAAGCGCGCGUAGGCGGCUAGAUCAGUCGGGUGUGAAAGCCCCGGGCUUAACCUGGGAACUGCAUCCGAUACUGUCUAGCUUGAGUACAGGAGGGGAGAGUGGAAUUCCACAUGUAGCGGUGAAAUGCGUAGAUAUGUGGAGGAACACCAAUGGCGAAGGCAGCUCUCUGGCCUGAUACUGACGCUGAGGUGCGAGAGCGUGGGGAGCAAACAGGAUUAGAUACCCUAGUAGUC